rnacentral:rRNA from 1 species
UUUGGUGAUGAUGGCAGAGAGGUCACACCCGUUCCCAUACCGAACACGGAAGUUAAGCUCUCUAGCGCCGAUGGUAG